rnacentral:lncRNA from 1 species
GGGCUGCAGCCUUUCUGGACCCAAAGAAAGCUCCACAAAACCAGUCAGAUCUCAGAAAAGCAAGUUAAGACCAACCAGUCGGGCCGCUAUUUCUCUGUAAGGUGCACCACCAAACCUGGACCCAACUUCCAAAGCUCACAGCAAACUUUUAGACACCAUCAUGAGUGCUGUAGAUUUUUCAGGUGGCUUACGACUGGAAGAAGAACCUCGGUGAAUCUAUUCCCAGAAAGGGAUUGUGUGUGACUUCUCCUUUUAAAAUUAUUGCUUUUUGUUUAUCAUACUUUGGGGAUCAACUAAAAUCAUGAGGGGGGAGGUCAUUUUGGUGCAAAAGAAGCACCUAGAAACUAGGGAAAAUAGUUAAAAAAGAAACAACAUUAACAAAAACCUGGUCCUCUUGCCUUGCUCCCAGCCAUUCCCUACAGUUAUACAAAGAAAAUUCUAGAUUAUCACAAUAAGACCUCAAUAUAUAUUGAGUGUUUGAAUGUAUGAGUCAGAGCUACCUUUUCUUUUUUUUUCUUAAAGAAAACAAAAAAC